rnacentral:rRNA from 1 species
CGAGACUCCUACGGGAGGCAGCAGUGGGGAAUAUUGCACAAUGGGGGGAACCCUGAUGCAGCGACGCCGCGUGGGUGAAGGAGCACCUCGGUGCGUAAAGCCCUAUCGGCAGGGAAGAAACAGACGGUACCUGACUAAGAAGCCCCGGCUAACUACGUGCCAGCAGCCGCGGUAAUACGUAGGUGGCGAGCGUUGUCCGGAAUUACUGGGUGUAAAGGGAGCGUAGGCGGGAGUGCAAGUUGAAUGUAUAAACUAUCGGCUCAACUGAUAGAAGCGUUCAAAACUGCACUUCUUGAGUGAAGUAGAGGCAGGCGGAAUUCCUAGUGUAGCGGUGAAAUGCGUAGAUAUUAGGAGGAACACCAGUGGCGAAGGCGGCUUACUGGACUGUAACUGACGUUGAGGCUCGAAAGCGUGGGGAGCAAACAGGAUUAGAUACCCGAGUA